rnacentral:lncRNA from 12 species
CUCACAUGUUGCUGCUGCAAAGUUCUUUCUUUGGUGCCCCUCUUCCAUUGUGAGGUCAAUAUGUACCAAGGCCACCAGGAGAUGAGAGAAGGACACAGAUGGUUGAAGAAGGCAGCCAUGCCAUCCAGAUGAGGCAGCCAAACCGCCCAGAUGAGGCACCCGACUGUCCCUGCCUAAAUUAGACACCGCCCCCGCAUCACUCCGGCGCUCUGAGUCACCUCCCUGUCCACUGCUUAUCCCUGGAGAUCUAAAAGGCGAUGCCAAAA